rnacentral:rRNA from 1 species
AUGACCGCUCUAUCUGGCGCUCAACGCGCUAGACUCGCCGAAACAACGUUGCGGGGCAUGAUGCAGAUGCCAUCGAUUAAGAUGCAUACACUUUUGAUAAGGUACACGGUUGAGAUUUUUGAGCCCACCACGGGAAGAUUCAUUGUAGAAGAGGUGGUUGGUGAGGUGUCUCUCGGUGCCGUGGACGUUGAGUGCAUCUUCAACUUGGACAACCUAGGACUGUCGGCAUCAGACAUUCUCAGUGAAGAAGGUGAGGACAUAAAAGACCGGGUGCCGCCUCAAUUGUUGAGUAAGUCUACUGGUAAUAUCGUCAUCGAUGAUCUCAUUGCGGACAUCAUUAAGAAUAAAUCCGCCGACGACGAUUUCCUUCGGAAAGUAGUCCUUGUCCUCCUAGGAACAGUCCUUGCUCCCAUGUCGAGCAAGAUUGUCCCAAAACAGUACUAUGCAUUGGUGGACGAUGUGAAACGUAUUUCCAAGAUUAAUUGGAAUGCGUUCACCCUCGAUGUUCUCCUCGACCGCCUUCGCGUUGUGAGGAAAGGCAAACACACCUCCGUCAAUGGCCGAGGGGCAGUUUAG